rnacentral:piRNA from 1 species
UCAGUGAAGUGUUCGAGGGCCAUCAUAU